AGAGGCCGGAUACCUGCGACAGGAAGGAAAGACCCAAUGGAGCUUUAGGGGAGCUUGNCAUUGGGGCUUGGUAUUUCUUUUACAGGAUAGGUGGGAGGCGUUGAAACCAGGACGCCAGUUUUGGCGGAGCCAUCCUUGGGAUACCACCCUUGUAGUACUGGGACGCUAACCAUAGGCCAUGAAUCUGGUCUUGGGGCACUGUCAGGUGGGCAGUGUGACUGGGGCGGUCGCCUCCCAAACGGUAACGGAGGCGCUCAAAGGUUCUCGCAGUACGGUCGGAAAUCGUACGUAGGGUGUAAAGGCAAAAGAGAGCUUGCUGUCCAGCCAUCCAGGUCGAUCCAGGAGGAAACACGGACUUAGUUAUCCGGUCGGUCUGCGUGAAAGGGCCAUCGCUCACUCCACGGGUCCACCUCGACGGGGAACAGGCUUAUAUCCCCCAAGAGUCCACAUCGACGGGGCGGUUUGGCAGUGUGCGUUCGCCUCAUCCCACUCUGGG
rnacentral:rRNA from 1 species